rnacentral:rRNA from 1 species
AUACGGAGGGUGCAAGCGUUAAUCGGAAUUACUGGGCGUAAAGCGUACGUAGGCGGUUAGUUAAGUUAGAUGUGAAAGCCCCGGGCUUAACCUGGGAACUGCAUUUAAAACUGGCUAACUAGAGUUAAGUAGAGGGGAGUGGAAUUUCAGGUGUAGCGGUGAAAUGCGUAGAGAUCUGAAGGAACACCAGUGGCGAAGGCGACCCCCUGGACUUGAACUGACGCUGAGGUACGAAAGCGUGGGUAGCAAACGGGAUUAGAUACCCUAGUAGUCC